rnacentral:lncRNA from 1 species
GGGGCAUCCGGGCCUGUGAGGGUCUGCCCCACUGCCCCUCUGGGCUGCAGCUGGUCCACCUUCAGGGGCAAGCAGGCAGCACCUGCUAAGGAGGGCCAAGACCUGCCGGUGGCCGGGGUCUGCUUGCCCACGUUAAUACCCUUAGAGGAAAAGGGCCCUGUUUACCCUCACCCUAAUGCCCGAACCAAAUAGACCCAAGGGUGAGCUGGAAGGGGAAAAGGAGUCACAAGAUGGCGUCCCUCAGCCUGAAAGAUCUUUUCAGAUCCACUGAAAUGCAUUUAGGAAUGCAUUUAGGAAGAUCUUCCUGGCAGCAGAGCAUGGCCUGGCUGCUCAGGGUGUUGAAGGAAGACCAGCAGCCCCUGCAUCUCCCAGGAACUUCUCAGAAAUGCAGCACCGUGGCCUUAUCCCAACAAGAUCUCCAGGCUCUGUGCAGACAAGAGCCCUUUGCUCCUGCUGGGACUGGCGUGCUCAGCAAACCUGACAGACAACGUGCAAAAUCAGAGUGCUUCCAGCAAAGCGGGGCGAGAACAAGGACGAGGAGGAGAUAAGAAGCAAACAGCUGCAGAAGAUCAGUGGAGAAACUCAGGCUCUUGGUGGAAAUAUGACACAGGGUGGCCAAGGACACUGCUGGGUUUCUGUGCAGUUGGCCUUGAGUGGAUGGCCUGAUGAGGCUUUUUAUCACCUUGGUCUUCGGAUGCAUCUCCACCAUGACCACAGCAGUGAGGCCCCUUCCACGCCUCUGGGUACAGCCUUCGGGAGCCCCUGAGAAGGAGUGCAUGGACUAGGGGGUGGGAGCUGACUCCAGAGAGGUGGGCAGGCCGGGAUCACAGAGCAUCUUGGCUGCACAGCCCAGGAAUCUGACUUACGUCCUGUUAGGCAACAGGCAGCCAGCCACGGGCUUGAGGCAGGAAAGCGGAAUGAUAUGAUGGGUGUUUCAGACACUUCUUUCACAGCUGUGUGGAGGAUAAGCUCCUUGCUAAGAUAAAGGAAACAUGGGCUAAUUUUCUUCUUAAAUGUACUAUAUUUUCCAAGUCAAGCCUAAAUCACUGACUUUGCUUUUCUCCGUGUAUGUUUGAUUUGAUCUCUAUAAAAGGUUAAGGAAAACUUUUAUUAUCUUAAGCCUUUGAUGAGGCCCUGAUUUGUCCUCUCCCCGCCAUGUGAAGCAGAGCACGGAGGAGUAAGGCAACUUUCCCAAGUUCGUGCAGUGGGUUCUUGGCACAACCAGGGAGGAUUUCACGGUCUGGAUUCUCAGAAUUGUGCUCUAACUGGAUCCUGCUGCGAGUCACCCACACUCACACUUACCUCCUAAAAAGUCACUUUCAACUGAGAAGAAGAGAGAUUAUGCCCAAGCUUUGGAAACUUGGCUCUGAGUCGAGGUCCCACGUUCGACUUUUGCUGAUCGCUGCCUCAGUUUCCUUCUGUGUCACCAGUCUUGCAUUGUCAAUGUUUCUCAGUGAGUUUCCCAUCAGUGCCUUCACUGCAUUAUAAAUGUAAACACCACCAAAGUUGACCUUGAGCCCAGCAUGACUCUGAGGCCCCAAAGAAACCUUCCUUAGGAACUGUGAGGAGUAAACAAAUGUUGAAUAGAGAAGUCAAUGUUGACUGCCUUCUCUUCUGACAUCUCCCAUGUACCUCUUCCUUUACUAUGAGAAUUGGUUUCAGACCCAGGAGGAUGUCAGCAGUGUCCUAACUGGCUCAGAGCUGUGAUGGCUGCUUCAUGGUCCGCCCCACUGCCCUCUAUCCCCAGAGCAUGCCCGGCAGGAAGAACCUGUGUGUUCAGGAUGUUCAUGAGGCUGCAUUUAUAGUGUACUGCAGAUUUCAUGUAAAUAUUUCUGUCAUUUGAAGUAGAGAAUGAUAUACCAUAUAUCCCUUUAAUUAAUUGAUCUCAAGCUAUGCUAUUCCCAAAGGCAACAUAAAUGUCCUUCAUACAAAAGGCUUCCAAACUGUCCAGUGACACACACAUGUUUCUGUCUGGCUUUGCUCUUUCCAUCAUGCAGUCGAGUCCUUUGCUUCUAGCCCAUCUCUCAUGUACCUACCCUUUAGUCCUCUGAGGAAAAUCACAACAACCCAGGUGAAAACCCUGAGGUCACACAAGUAAACAAAGUUUGAGCUUUUUUAAACAGGAUGUUGUUGGAUUCAAAUUGGACUUUGGGCUAAGAGGAAUGAACAGUGCCUUUUACUGCAACCCUAGGCAUCCAGGGAAAAGUACAGCAGACUUGAAAGGAACCAAGCUGCAGGCAAGUUAGGACAUUUCCAAAAAAAAUAGAAAAUAGAAAUCUGUUUGUACUUUUGGAGCAUCAACGAGUAAGCUAUUUUCAGUUAGGUUAGUAAAAGCAUGUUUAAACCUGUUUGCAGAGACAGGCUCAUAAAACAUCCUCGCCAGAAAGCAGAGACAGGAGUCGGGGGAGGUGGCAGUCCCUGUAUUUUCCCUUAGUGAACUGAGUGUUGUCCCAACAGGCAACAGGAUACAACAUUUGCCUUGGUCUGAAUGAAGCCCUGAACAGUGCAGCCGGUGCUGUAUUUCAUCGUGACACCAACUGGCCCCUAUUCUCCAAGCUCAACAUCCCCCUUCUCUCUAAAUGAAACCUAGCCUGGAACAAGGCUGUGCUUACAAGAGAACUCACAAUCAGC